rnacentral:lncRNA from 1 species
UAAGUUUGUCUGCUUCAAUUGCAGUUUCUACCAUAAAAUCUGGGGAUUGGAAAAUACAUGGCCUAAGCUAUAGGCAUAUUCUCUGUUGCUUACGUAAUGUGUUAAAAUUGACUUGGUCGUCAGUAUUUUGAGAGAAUUACAUAAAAGUCUGGAAUUCUAGAUUCUCUAUAAAAAUCAGGAUUUCUGAUAAUGUUGGGCCAGCAUUCCCACUGAAACUUGAUGGUUUAAAACUGUCAUUUUUUUUUCUUUUUUUUUUUUUUUUUGUCUUUUUGCUAUUUCUUGGGCCACUCCCCCUGGGAACCCCCACAUGCAGCAGGCCCGGCCCAAAAAAAAAAAAAAAAAAAAAGAGACACAAGCCAACACAGCCUAAAAUUUUGAUCUUUCUCAGUAUUCUUGUAAAGUUACAAAAAUAAAGAAAGAUAAAUAUAAUUCCCAAUUCCUUUGCAUUCUGAAUUCAGGAAUUUAGGCAAACUGAAUAGUAGUCAAAUCCUUUGGUCAUAUUCUGGAUUUGGGGUUGCCUGUAUUACUUGAUCUAUUUUUUUUUUUUUGUCUUUUUUUGUCUUUCUAGGGCUGCACCCACGGCAUGUGGAGGUUCCCAGGCUAGGGGUCCAAUCGGAGCUGCAGCCACUGGCCUACACCACAGCCACAGCAACGCCAGAUCUGAGCCAUGUCUGUGACCUACACCACAGCUCACAGCAAUGCCAGAUCCUUAACCCACUGAGCAAGGCCAGGGAUCGAACCUGCAACCUCAUGGUUCCUAGUUGGAUUUGUUUCCCCUGUGCCACAACAGAGACUCCUGUUUUUAUUUUUAAAAUUUUCAUAGUUUUGGCCACACCUGAGACAUGCUGAAGUUCCUGGGCCAGGGAUCAAACCCAUGCCACAGUGGUGACAAUGCCGGAUCCCUAACCUGCUGAGCCACCAGGGAACUCCUCUCUCUCUAAUUUUAAAUGUUAGGUAUUCUGCCAUGUAUGUCAUUAUUAAAGUUUUCCCAGGGAGUUCCCAUUGUGACUCAGUGGUAAUGAACCCAACUAGUAUCCCUGAGAAUACAGGAUAAGGGGGUUAAGGAUCCAGCAUUGCCAUGAGCUGUGGUGUAGGUCACAGACAUGGCUCAGAUCCCGUGUUGCUGCAGCUGUGACAUAGGCCAGCAGCUGCAGCUCUGAUUGGACCCCUAGCCUGGGAACCUCCAUAUGCCUGAGGUGCAACCCUACAAAGCACCUCUGCCACCUCUCAGCCUGUCUCUGUCAGACAUGCAUUCCAGACUCCAGUGAAUUUCACAAAGCCCUGUUUCCAGACAUUGCAAUAAUGUGCAGGAGUCUAAGGUGUACUGGGUUUCUAGAACAUAUUGUAUGAAACUUAAAGAUUUAUAUCAUAGAUCCUAUAGUGACAGGUAAAAACAAGAUUCAUCAAUAUGAACAUUGGUGGAAUCUUAUAAAAUCAUCUAUGUCUACCCUAAACAUUAUUUUUCUUCUCUAAGAUGGUUUUUAUAGAGCUAGUGUACAUUCUUAAAGUUAUUUUGUAAAAGUGAUAAUGUACAAUGAUGAAAAUUAAGGUUAGACUAUUUGGAUUUAUUUUAGAAUGGCAUCUGGCUAUAGGAUUAAACUCCACGUGGUCAAAAUCUAUGCUAUACUAUGUAGUAUAGUAUAUAUUAUGUAUAUACUAUAAUGUAUAUAGCAUAGGUAUAAUAUAUAUAAUAUAUAUAGCACAUAGUAUAUAGUAUAUAAUGUAUAUAUACUAUAAUGUAUAUAGUAUAUGUAUAUAGUAUAUGCAAUAUAUACUAUACUAUAACAAAGUUAUCUGCAGCGCUCAUCAAAGUGCAGACCUGCUCUUACUCUGGACUAUGUGGGACUUAUUAUUAGGCUUAAUAAAUAUAAACAUAAAUACAGGGAAAAUUUACUGAUAUAUAGUAACUUGAUGCAUAGGCAGAAGCAAGGGUCUAAGUCCUUGCUAAUUAAAGUGUAUCCACAGACCAGAAGCCUGGGCCUCCUUGGAGCUUGUAAGAAAUGCAGAAUCUCAGAUGUCCACCCCAACUUAGGGCAUCAGAACCUACGUUAACAUCAACAGACGAUUCGCGUGCAUACUAACGAUUGAGAGACGCUGGCCUAGAGAUAAUUAUGCCAGUAAUUAGUUGUGCAUUCUUUAAUAAGUCACCUAUUAUGCUCGUGUUUUAGUUUCCUCCAUUCUUUGCUACUUGCUAUGUUGAUUUUGGAUAAGUUCAUUCUGUAUCUUCAUUUAGUUGCUUGGAAAAUAGAAGUAAUAAUAAUUACCCACCUCAUCCUAUCAUAAGGAUAAAAUCAGGGAAUGGUUAUAAGAUGUGUGGACUAUGAUCCACAUUGAAUAUGCAGUUAAUUAAUGCCCGUGGUGGUUAUUUCAGCUAUUGUUUCUCUGAUGUACUUGAUUCUCAUAUGGUUCAUAGGCCUAAAGAAAUAAUACAUGUCUUUCAAAAUUGCCUAUACGGAUAAAUAAAUAUACUGUUUUGCACAUUUUCAAUUUUAUGAAGUAAUGCAGAAUUGUCUUUCCAAAGUCAUCCUCAUAUAAAUAUGCUUUUAAAAAUUGAAAAAUAAAAAGGAACAAGAUUUUCCAGUUAAAGAGCUCAGUGGUAGAAGCACUGGAGAGGGGAUCAGACCGACUCUCUUCUGGUCCCAUUCUCGGGCUCUUGGACCUGUCUUUUAACAUCUUUGGAUUUCAUGGAUAUUAUAUGAGAACAUAAAGUGCUGUAAAAUGCUUAGAGUACUAUUUUAUAGACUUUACAGAACUGUCAACACCCAGUUAUCAUGCAUUUGUUCUCCUGAGAAUGUGUGAUCGGGUGUUCAGAUGGCUAAUCUUGCAUGGCACCAUACCGGGUCCUUUUAGAAGCUUCAGAAAAUCAUUAAAUUAUUAAAUUACUGUUUCAGCCACACAUAUGUGCCCUAAUUACCUCUAUCUAACUCCAAAUCCAUUAUUUCUAUAGGAAACAAUUUUCUAUUUGAAAAUCUGCUCAUUCUAUAAUAGCUCAUUUAUUAGAACUUCAAGUAAAAGUCUGCUCUCAUCUCCGCUUUCUGUCCUCUUACCGUGUGAGCCCACUGGCUGCAUCAAUGCAGGCACCCAACAAACCUGCCUCGAGUGAAAGACAGUGGCUGAACUCUAAUGGUUGGCUCUCCAUUGGAAAAUUCUCAGAGUUCCCAUCGUGGUGCAGUGGAAACGAAAUCUAUGAGGACGCAGUUUCAAUCCCUAGCCUUGCUCAGUGGGUUCAGGAUCCUGCAUUGCUGUGGCUGUGGUGUAGGUCACAGACCCGGCUCAGAUCUGACAUUGCUGUGGCUGUGGCAUAGGCUGGUGGCUACAGCUACAGCUCUGAUUCGACUCCUCCUAACCUGGGGACCUCCAUAUGCCACCGGGUGGCCCUAAAAAA